UAGCAUAUCAAUAAGCGGAGGAAAAGAAACCAACAGGGAUUGCCCUAGUAACGGCGAGUGAAGCGGCAACAGCUCAAAUUUGAAAUCUGGCCCUCGGGUCCGAGUUGUAAUUUGUAGAGGAUGCUUUUGGUGAGGUACCUUCCGAGUUCCCUGGAACGGGACGCCAUAGAGGGUGAGAGCCCCGUCUGGUUGGAUACCGAGCCUCUGUAAAGCUCCUUCGACGAGUCGAGUAGUUUGGGAAUGCUGCUCUAAAUGGGAGGUAUAUGUCUUCUAAAGCUAAAUACCGGCCAGAGACCGAUAGCGCACAAGUAGAGUGAUCGAAAGAUGAAAAGCACUUUGAAAAGAGAGUUAAAAAGUACGUGAAAUUGUUGAAAGGGAAGCGCUUAUGACCAGACUUGGGCUUGGUUGAUCAUCCUGGGUUCUCCCUGGUGCACUCUUCCAGUUCAGGCCAGCAUCAGUUCGCUGCGGGGGAUAAAAGUUUUGGGAAUGUGGCUCCCUCGGGAGUGUUAUAGCCCAUUUCAUAAUACCCUGCUCCGGACUGAGGUUCGCGCAUCUGCAAGGAUGCUGGCGUAAUGGUCAUCAGCGACCCGUCUUGAAACACGGACCAAGGAGUCGUCUUCGUAUGCGAGUGUUCGGGUGUUAAACCCCUACGCGUAAUGAAAGUGAACGCAGGUGAGAGCUUCGGCGCAUCAUCGACCGAUCCUGAUGUUCUCGGAUGGAUUUGAGUAAGAGCAUACGGGGCCGGACCCGAAAGAAGGUGAACUAUGCCUGUAUAGGGUGAAGCCAGAGGAAACUCUGGUGGAGGCUCGCAGCGGUUCUGACGUGCAAAUCGAUCGUCAAAUAUGGGCAUGGGGGCGAAAGACUAAUUCGAACCUUCUAGUAGCUGGUUUCCGCGAU
rnacentral:rRNA from 1 species